GUGCCAGCAGCCGCGGUAAUACCGGCAGCACGAGUGAUGGCCGAUCUUAUUGGGCCUAAAGCGUCCGUAGCCGGCCGAGCGGGUCCGUCGGGAAAUCCACGUGCUCAACGCGUGGGCGUCCGGCGGAAACCACUCGGCUUGGGGCCGGAGGACCCGAGGGGUACGUCCGGGGUAGGAGUGAAAUCCUGUAAUCCUGGACGGACCGCCGGUGGCGAAAGCGCCUCGGGAAGACGGACCCGACAGUGAGGGACGAAAGCUGGGAUCUCGAACCGGAUUAGAAACCCCGGUAGUCC
rnacentral:rRNA from 1 species